UCUAUAAAUUACAGAUAAUUGCUACACGCGCCCUCUUGCGCCCUAAACAUACAGAGCCCUCUCUCUUUGUCUGAAGAUGUUAAUGUCGGCGCGGAGGAUUUUCACAAGUGCUGGGAGGUUCUUCCACUUUCAACUGCAAAUGGAAAUGGGUAUCAUUCAAUCUCCAUCCUUAUUAUUUGCCAAUUACUUUCAUUCUUCUACUUCCAUGCAUGUUCCUAAAGAUGCAAAAUCUCAACGUUUUUUGAGAUCUAAGUUCAAGGACAUUGAUGAUGCCUUAGCUUCCUUUAAUCAUAUCAUUCUUAUGCGUCCUCUGCCUUCUAUUGUUCAGUUUUGUCGAUUUUUAUCUGCCCUUGUGGGGAUGAAACAAUAUCACACGGUCAUCUCUUUGUGCAGAACAAUUGAGUCUCUAGGAAUCUCUCACAGUGUUUAUUCUCUUUCUAUAUUGAUUAACUGUUUCUGCCGAUUACACCUUGUGAAUUUUGGCUUCUCAAUUUUGGGGAAAUUUAUCAAAUUUGGAUUGGAGCCCAAUACUGUGACAUUUACUACCUUAAUUAAUGGGCUCUGCAUAGAUGGUAAAAUCAAUGGAGCAGUAGAUUUUUUCAAUGAUAUGGUUACUGGAGGAUAUCAACCUAAUGUUCAUACCUACAAUGUGAUAGUAAAUGCUCUAUGUAAAGGCAACACAGCUUAUUGAUGAAAUGGUCGAUAAAGGAUUCUCUGCAGAUGCCACCACCUUCGAAUUGGUAAUACAUUUAUCACGCAAUGACGAUCUCAUUCUGAGAAAACUACGAAAUCGUUCCAAAUGUUCUAAAGAUGCAAAUUUUAAGUGAUAUUUUAACAAUCAAGGCUUGCACAACAGAUGGACGAGGUUUUUCACCCUUUUUCCAUACAGGAAAUCAGUGCAUGUUGUGGUUUUUAUCUUGCAAGCAUUUUGAGAUUCCAUAAUCACAAUUAAUAAUGUGCCUAUUCCCUAAUUUGCAACUUUCUGCAUUAUUUUCUGCUUGAUGAUGCAACUGCAAAAAGUGGAAAGUGGAUUGAUGGAAAAAAGAAGAAGAAGAAGAAGAAGAAGAAGAAGAAGAUAGUUAUGGGUCCAUGGCUAGGUUUAAAGGAUGGAAAAACAAAAAAAAAAAAAGAAGGGAAGAGAGGGGAGGGGGGGGUGGGGGGGUGGGCGUGUGUAAGCUUAAGACAGCUAGACAGUUGAAGUAGAAACAUAAAAAUUGCCAUAUUGGAGUUUGCUUACUGUUAAAAGAAAGUGAAUCUUCCAAAAAAUGUUGGAAUGUAUUAUACAUAGAAUUUGGGUAGUAGAUACUUACAUUAUCGGUGUUAGUGAUUUAUGUUCAAAUGGUUGCUAAUAAUGGAAUGAUAUUUUUUGAUACAA